rnacentral:lncRNA from 1 species
AUAGGCAUAAAGUGAAACUUUAGGCAAUAGUAUUUCUUUUUUUUGAUUAAUAUUCUAAUCCAAUGAGAACUUUUUAAGAUACCAAGAUAAGAGGUUUACAGGGACAUCCAGCUGCAUCCAGAAGUCUCCAGCCAUUGUCCUGAACCUGUAGUCACCUGGAUUCCAGGAAAGGCAGAGUUCUACAUGAUUGAGAUCACCACAGAGACAAUCCUUUCCUAGGAAUACCAUCCCUCAGCCUUAAAGAUUACAGAACUAUGACGCCAGGACUGAGAUAAUGAUCAGUGGGACCCCAGGUUUCAGUUAAUCCUUGAAAAACUGGCCUCCUGCCUUUGCAAGGCAGUGGGUGUGAACCCCAGGAUCAGACUACACCCCUUCUAGCUACUUAAGCUGGAAUCCUUUCCUCUCGUCUCUCUCAACUUUUCCAUUAAAG